rnacentral:rRNA from 1 species
CCUUGUGCCUACAAGCACCGAGAGUCCGUUAAAGGAUGAUCGGGUACUUUUUGUAGAACGGUCCGGCGAGUUAAUAUUUGCAGCGAGGUUAAGGAACUGGAGUUCCGGAGCCGCAGCGAGAGCGAGUCUGAAAAGGGCGUAUGAAGUUGCAGGUAUUAGACCCGAAACCGGGUGACCUAUCCAUGAGCAGGCUGAAGCGGUGGUAAGACACCGUGGAGGGCCGCACCCACGUCUGUUGAAAAAGCCGGGGAUGACUUGUGGAUAGCGGAGAAAUUCCAAUCGAACUCGGAGAUAGCUGGUUCUCCCCGAAAUAGCUUUAGGGCUAGCGUUAUUUUAGAUUACCGGAGGUAAAGCACUGAAUGGUCUAGGGGCCGCGAGGUUACCAAAGCCUAUCAAACUCUGAAUGCCGGAUAAUUGAUGAAUAGCAGUCAGACUGUGUGAGAUAAGUCUCAUAGUCAAAAGGGAAACAGCCCAGAUCUACAGCUAAGGUCCCAAAUGAACACUAAGUGGAAAAUGAUGUGAAACUGCGAAGACAACCAGGAUGUUGGCUUAGAAGCAGCCACUCAUUCAAAGAGUGCGUAAUAGCUCACUGGUCGAGUGGUUUUGCGCAGAAAAUGUAACGGGGCUAAGUGUUCAACCGAAGCUUAGGCAUUGCAGUAAUGCAUUGGGUAGGGGAGCGUCGUAUGCGGGGCGAAGUCAGAGCGGAAGCACUGGUGGACUGCAUACGAGUGAGAAUGCCGGAAUAAGUAGCGAGAAUUAUGUGAGAAUCAUAAUGGCCGAAAAUCUAAGGUUUCUUGGGGAAGGUUCGUCCGCCCAAGGUUAGUCGGGAGCUAAGCUCAGGCCGAAAGGCGUAGGCGAUGCACAUACGGUAGAAAUUCCGUAACCACCGAACAUUUAAGCUAGAGGGACGCUUUCUUUAAGGUUAUCCCGGGCGAUGGUUGCCCCGGGCGUAAGGGACCGAAAUAUAGUAGGGAAGUAACUGGCGAGAGAGACGAGAAAAGCUCUAGUGUAUACUAAGGUGCCCGUACCGCAAACCGACACAGGUAGAUGGGAUGAGUAUUCUAAGGCCAACGGGAGAAGGGUUGUUAAGGAACUCGGCAAAUUGGCCCCGUAACUUCGGGAUAAGGGGCGCCUGCGAGAGCAGGCCGCAGUGAAAAGGCCCAAGCGACUGUUUAGCAAAAACACAGCUCUCUGCUAAAUCGAAAGAUGACGUAUAGGGGGUGACGCCUGCCCGGUGCUGGAAGGUUAAGGGGAGUGCUUAGCGCAAGCGAAGGUGCGAACUUAAGCCCCAGUAAACGGCGGCCGUAACUAUAACGGUCCUAAGGUAGCGAAAUUCCUUGUCAGGUAAGUUCUGACCCGC